rnacentral:rRNA from 1 species
UACGUAGGGGGCAAGCGUUGUCCGGAUUUAUUGGGCGUAAAGAGCGUGUAGGCGGCUAGAUAGGUCCGUUGUGAAAACUCGAGGCUCAACCUCGAGACGUCGAUGGAAACCAUCUGGCUAGAGUCCGAAAGAGGAGAGUGGAAUUCCUGGUGUAGCGGUGAAAUGCGCAGAUAUCAGGAAGAACACCCGUGGCGAAGGCGGCUCUCUGGUACGUGACUGACGCUGAGACGCGAAGGCCAGGGGAGCAAACGGG